CAGUCGACGGUAACAUUUCUAGCUUGCUAGUAAGAUGACGAGUGGCGGACGGGUGAGUAAUGCUUGGGAACUUGCCUUUGCGAGGGGGAUAACAGUUGGAAACGACUGCUAAUACCGCAUAAUGUCUUCGGACCAAACGGGGCUUCGGCUCCGGCGCAAAGAGAGGCCCAAGUGAGAUUAGCUAGUUGGUAAGGUAACGGCUUACCAAGGCGACGAUCUCUAGCUGUUCUGAGAGGAAGAUCAGCCACACUGGGACUGAGACACGGCCCAGACUCCUACGGGAGGCAGCAGUGGGGAAUAUUGCACAAUGGGGGAAACCCUGAUGCAGCCAUGCCGCGUGUGUGAAGAAGGCCUUCGGGUUGUAAAGCACUUUCAGUUGUGAGGAAAAGUUAGUAGUUAAUACCUGCUAGCCGUGACGUUAACAACAGAAGAAGCACCGGCUAACUCCGUGCCAGCAGCCGCGGUAAUACGGAGGGUGCGAGCGUUAAUCGGAAUUACUGGGCGUAAAGCGCACGCAGGCGGUUUGUUAAGCUAGAUGUGAAAGCCCCGGGCUCAACCUGGGAUGGUCAUUUAGAACUGGCAGACUAGAGUCUUGGAGAGGGGAGUGGAAUUCCAGGUGUAGCGGUGAAAUGCGUAGAUAUCUGGAGGAACAUCAGUGGCGAAGGCGACUCCCUGGCCAAAGACUGACGCUCAUGUGCGAAAGUGUGGGUAGCGAACAGGAUUAGAUACCCUGGUAGUCCACACCGUAAACGCUGUCUACUAGCUGUGUGUGCCUUU
rnacentral:rRNA from 1 species